rnacentral:rRNA from 1 species
AUUGAACGCUAGCGGGAUGCCUUACACAUGCAAGUCGAACGGAGUGGCGAACGGGUGAGUAAUGUAUCGGAACGUGCCCAGUAGCGGGGGAUAACUACGCGAAAGCGUAGCUAAUACCGCAUAAUAUUGGAGUGGCCGAUAUCGGAUGAGCUUGUUGGUGGGGUAACGGCGCACCAAGGCGACGAUCCGUAGCUGGUUUGAGAGGACGACCAGCCACCCUGGGACGGAGAUACGGCCCAGACUCCUACGGGAGGCAGCAGUGGGGAAUUGGGGACAAGGGGGGACACCCUGAUCCAGCCAUCCCGCGUGUGCGAUGAAGGCCUUCGGGUUGUAAAGCACUUUUGGCAGGAAAGCGGUACCUGCAGAAUAAGCACCGGCUAACUACGUGCCAGCAGCCGCGGUAAUAC